rnacentral:rRNA from 1 species
CACGGGGGGAGCAAGCGUUGUUCGGAAUCACUGGGCGUAAAGGGCGUGUAGGCGGUUGAGUAAGUGGGAUGUGAAAUGCCUCGGCUUACCCGGGGACCGGCAUCCCAAACUGCUCGACUUGAGUACGGGAGAGGAUGAGGGAAUUCCUGGUGUAGCGGUGAAAUGCGUAGAUAUCAGGAGGAACACCGGUGGCGAAGGCGCUCAUCUGGCCCGAUACUGACGCUGAUGCGCGAAAGCUAGGGGAGCGAACGGG